GUCCACACCGUAAACGUUGGGCGCUAGGUGUGGGACUCAUUCCACGAGUUCCGUGCCGCAGCUAACGCAUUAAGCGCCCGCCUGGGAGUACGGCCGCAAGGCUAAACUCAAAGGAAUUGACGGGGCCCGCACAAGCGGCGGAGCAUGCGGAUUAAUUCGAUGCAACGCGAAGAACCUUACCUAGGUUUGACAUAUACGAGAAGCCUCUAGAGAUAGAGGUCUCUUUGGACACUCGUAUACAGGUGGUGCAUGGCUGUCGU
rnacentral:rRNA from 1 species